rnacentral:rRNA from 1 species
UGCUGACGAGUGGCGGACGGGUGAGUAAUGUCUGGGAAACUGCCUGAUGGAGGGGGAUAACUACUGGAAACGGUAGCUAAUACCGCAUAACGUCGCAAGACCAAAGAGGGGGACCUUCGGGCCUCUUGCCAUCGGAUGUGCCCAGAUGGGAUUAGCUAGUAGGUGGGGUAACGGCUCACCUAGGCGACGAUCCCUAGCUGGUCUGAGAGGAUGACCAGCCACACUGGAACUGAGACACGGUCCAGACUCCUACGGGAGGCAGCAGUGGGGAAUAUUGCACAAUGGGCGCAAGCCUGAUGCAGCCAUGCCGCGUGUAUGAAGAAGGCCUUCGGGUUGUAAAGUACUUUCAGCGGGGAGGAAGGGAGUAAAGUUAAUACCUUUGCUCAUUGACGUUACCCGCAGAAGAAGCACCGGCUAACUCCGUGCCAGCAGCCGCGGUAAUACGGAGGGUGCAAGCGUUAAUCGGAAUUACUGGGCGUAAAGCGCACGCAGGCGGUUUGUUAAGUCAGAUGUGAAAUCCCCGGGCUCAACCUGGGAACUGCAUCUGAUACUGGCAAGCUUGAGUCUCGUAGAGGGGGGUAGAAUUCCAGGUGUAGCGGUGAAAUGCGUAGAGAUCUGGAGGAAUACCGGUGGCGAAGCGGCCCCCUGGACGAAGACUGACGCUCAGGUGCGAAAGCGUGGGGAGCAACAGGAUUAGAUACCCUGGUAGUCCACGCCGUAAACGAUGUCG